rnacentral:snRNA from 1 species
AGAGCCCCGUCGUGCCCGGA